rnacentral:rRNA from 1 species
GACGAACGCUGGCGGCGUGCUUAACACAUGCAAGUCGAACGGAAAGGCCUCUUUCGGGGGGUACUCGAGUGGCGAACGGGUGAGUAACACGUGAGUAACCUGCCCUUGACUUUGGGAUAACUUCAGGAAACUGGGGCUAAUACCGGAUAGGAGCUCCUGCUGCAUGGUGGGGGUUGGAAAGUUUCGGCGGUUGGGGAUGGACUCGCGGCUUUCAGCUUGUUGGUGGGGUAGUGGCUUACCAAGGCUUUGACGGGUAGCCGGCCUGAGAGGGUGACCGGCCACAUUGGGACUGAGAUACGGCCCAGACUCCUACGGGAGGCAGCAGUGGGGAAUAUUGCACAAUGGGUGGAAGCCUGAUGCAGCAACGCCGUGGGCGGGAGGACGGCCUUCGGGUUGUAAACCGCUUUCGCUCAUGACGAAGCUUUGUGUGACGGUAGUGGGUAAAGAAGCACCGGCUAACUACGUG